ACUCAGUGACGCUUGCAUCAGGUCAGAUCAAAUUCUCAAGCAAAGAGAUUGCUGGGGAUAUUCAGUAGCAACGGUGAGGAGAGAGAGGAACAAUUCACAUUUCAAGGGACCCUUCCUCAAAUCGGUCUGUUCUGAAGGAACUUUCCCGCAGAAAUCACUGGAUUGAAAGGUACUCAGGAAGUUCCUGUCUCAGCCGAAUUCCUAAGUCCUGUCUCGUCCAUAACCGCAUCAAAGCCAGUUGGUCAGCCAGAGAGAGAUGGAGAGGGAGAUCUGGAGCCUUCAGUAAAUCCUGCAGCCGCUUCUGGCAACAAAUGGCCACAAACCGAUCAAAGGUGAAAGUGACGGUGAACCAGACAGAGCAGUCAGUGGCUGCAUAAAGCAGGACGGCGUGGAUAUUACACACGGGGACGGAGUCCCUCAGGAAAUAAAACUGUUCCCGAUAAACAAUGGGAAUGUGUCUCAGGAUCAGAUCGAGGAUAAUGACCAGGAGAUCCGCCGCUGCCAUGGCCCCCAGGUAUCUGUAUUAGCUGUUUGGAUACAGAAUUGGCUGGCCAACAGAAGACAGCGAGUGGUAGUGGAAGGAAAUUAUUUUGCCUGGAAGUCAGUGGGCCAUAUAAACAUAUCUUCAAAUCGACCGAGACCAUUUUCUGCUCAGUGUAUGGCUCUGUGUACGACAGCAGCAAUGAUGCACCGACAUGGAACAGGGAAUGUGAUGGAGACAUAGUUUGGACAAUGUACAAGGAGACCUCACAUGGUCCAGUUUGGGAGAGAAUGACAUUAUUGUGUGAUUCAACUCAGAGAGGGAGAAAAUGUCAUCUGCCCGAGAAGAAACGGCCUAUUGCGCUCUCUCUCCUUCAUUAUUCCUCAUCACAGUAACGUGUACGAGCUAAAACAAAACUCUACUGUCAUCGUUACCAUUCUUAUUUUUAUAGAAUCCCUGCAGUGUGGAAACAAGCCCUUCGGCCCAACAAGUCCAUACCAACCUUCCAAAGAGUAACCUUCCCAUGCCCUUACAGUUACCACUGACGAGUGCACUUAAAGUAGAAAUUGCUGAACACUAUGGACUAUUUUACCAAUCCACUUGAAUUAUACAGCUUUGGGCUGUGGGAGGAAACGGGAGCACCCAUCAGAAGCUCACACAGACAAGGGGAGAAGAUGCAAACUCCACGCAGAUAGUCGCCCGAGGCUGGAAUUGAACUCAUGCCCCUGAUGCCGUGAGGCAACAGUACGAACUACUGAGCCACUGUGCUAACCUGGAACCUCCUGCCAGCCUAAUGCAAAGGGAAUUCAGCCAAACCCAACUCUCCCAGGAUACAAUCCCAUUGCUAGCAGCUGUGUGAGUAGUCUAUCUUCAGAAGCAGAAUAAUGUUUUGGACAAUCUCUCAAUUUUUCCUUUUGUCAUGAGCUACACUAAUAUUUGGACAAGGUUCUUUCAACAUGAAAUUGCAGAGAUAGUGUUUAGUGUGUGUGUGUGUGUGUGUGUCAGUGCUUUUUCGUCAUAGUUGGAGUAACAUUGCACUGGAUCAUAAACGUGCUAUUUGAGCAGAUUAAAGAAACUAGCCUGACUUGUUCCUAAAA